rnacentral:lncRNA from 1 species
CCCUGUUCUCUCUGGCAGGCGCUGCAGAGCCCACAGUGUUUAGGAUUUCUGAGCGCCACUGAGUGUUCCAGCCAAAGACCCCAUGUGACUUUCCUCCAAGCACGGGGCUCUUAGCAUGCUGAAGCUGGGAGGGAGCUUCGAGAUGAUGAGGACGCCAGGGCCUCCAUGAGGGGCUGCCCUGGUGAACACAGGCCCUGGUACUGAAUAAGCUCUUCCCGGUUCUAACUCGACUUUCAUGGUGUCAUUUUUGCGAGGUGCAUCUCUGAUCUGCCUCCAGUAAAUAAACGGCUGAAACAGAA